ACAUAUGUGUCACUGUGAAGCAGCAGUAGGGUGAAUAGAAGAAGAAGACCCAUUCAACCCUGGAAAAAAAAAUCGAAAUAAAUUGCAAAAAUCGGACUUUUAACAACAAAGUAUGAAUGUUCUACACCGAGCAAGUGCUUGAGUCAUUGUUUUCUGUCGGAUCUUUUAAGCGACGGACACAUUCAUCUAGACAAGUAGCAACAAUGGUAGAAAUCCCAGCUUGGAAGCUUCGUUACAAACCUUGGUGAAACAUUUUGGCUCCUGUCGUGGUGUUGCUGGCGGCGUGACCUCAGGUUGCAGAGAUGGACGUUGGUGUGCAGACAGCUGGAACAAGAUUCCAGCUGUUCCAGUUCCAGGGCAUCUUCCGCCGUCUGAUGGUUUGUUGUGGUGUCUCACAGAGUGAGACCAACAGUGUGGCGGACGAAGAUAACAUGGUGUCCUUCUGAGCAGUAGAGACGUCCUCUGCUGAAACUGUAGAAACAAAAACACCCAUCUCCAUUUGCCGAAAUUUCAGCCAUUGUGUGUGACCACAGUUAUCUUCUCACACGGGUUGCCGGUCUACUAGAAAAGACUGGUCUACAUAGCAGCGUCUGUAGUCUUGCAGAUACUACAGAAGCUGUCCUGUUUUGUGUGCUGUGUGAGGACAGCUACCACCUUGUAACAGUGAAAAACAUGAAUUAU